rnacentral:rRNA from 1 species
AACGAACGCUGGCGGCAUGCCUAACACAUGCAAGUCGAACGAGACCUUCGGGUCUAGGUGCGCACGUGUGCGUAACGCGUGGGAACCUGCCCUUAGGUUCGGAAUAACUCCCCGUAGGGGGUGCUAAUGCCGGAUAAUGUCUUCCGACCAAGGAUUUAUUGCCAUGGGAUGGGCGCGCGUUGGUUUCGCUAGUUGGUAGGGUAAAAGCCUACCAAGGACAGGUUCCAGAGCUGGUGGGUGAGGAUGAUCCGCCACACUGGGAAUGAGACCCGGACUAGAAUGCUAGGGGAGGGAGCAGUGGGGAAUAUUGGACAAGGGGCCAAAGCCUGAUAAAGCCAUGCGGGGUGAGUGAUGCAGGGCUUAGGGUUGUAAAGCUCUUUUACCCGGGAUGAUAAUGACAGUACCGGGAGAAUAAGCACCGGCUAACUACGUG